rnacentral:lncRNA from 1 species
CUCAGUAAAUCCAGAGAGCAUUUUUCCUUUGCAUUUUGAGGUUCUUUGGAGGUUGGGUCGACUCAUGCCUACCUUGGGUCGACCCAACGCACUGUUCAUUUGUGCUGUUUUUGCAGUUGUGUGCCAGAUGAUUCCUUUAAGUCCCGGGGUCGACCCAAUCAACCUAUGGGUCGACUCAAUUCACACUUUGCUGCAUUCUCAAGAUUAGAUCCAUCCAAAUGAACAAGACCAUAUAUAUAUUUUCAAUUAAGCAUAUGUACUGAGAGUAAUGAACUUAUAAAUGAAGUAUCAAUUUAACUUAUAGCAUGCUUUGGAUAAUUGUUUGUUAAUCAUCAAAAUAACACUAUCAUCCUCAAUCAC